rnacentral:lncRNA from 10 species
AGGCUGCAGUGAAUUCUACAAAGAGGCUAUGGGAAAGAAACCUGGAAAGUACCCUUGGCUGUGUACAUUUGAGUAAAGAGAGCACUAUAAAAUCAAAAACCAAUGAAAUGGUUUCCAGAACACAGAACUAUUAAGCUUAAGAAAAGGACAGAAGGAACUGAAGAGAGAGGAACUGUUUUGGAGCAUCACACUUCCACCUCAGAAGAAAUAAGGAAGGAAGGAGGAGGGUGUUCCCACGGCUCUUCAACCAGGCCGGCUCUUCAGCCUACAUCCCCAUCUCAUCAAGUAAAAGGGAUUUUUCAACUGGACCAACCAGAUGGUUUAACAGUGCACUCCCACACCAUUCAACUACGCAAGGGAGAUACACUUAACAUAUGCAGUCGUAUAACACCUACUAACAUUUUCAAACAUUAAACCUUUAAAAAAGAGUUCUAAAGAAAUAGAAGCUUGAAGUAUCAUCUCUCAAGUAUAUAGACACUACUUCAUGGUGUGGUAAUAUAUGCAUAUAGAAGCUAGUAAACACCUCCAGGAGAUGCAAAAGGAAUUAGAACUGCCACAAGGUGCAAGCAAAACCUUGAGUCUCCAUUGAUGGUGAAGUAUUUUCACUAUUUGGCAUGUCUUCUCUAGUACCUAGAGCAGUGCGUUGCAUGCAGUAGCAGGUUUAUAAACAUUUGCGAGUAAAACAUCCAACCUGAUACUCAAGUUCUGUUUUUCCUCUUCUAAUCCUUCACCCAUCUGAGCUAAAGUCUAGACCUAAGGAGGCUACUAAUUCAGGGAUCGAGUAAUCUGCCAAGCAAGAGUUUAUUCAAGCACAGUUUGAAAUAAAGGUUUCAAAUGCAUAGCCUGUCGAUACUUUGGAAGGAUUCUCAUCAUAACGAGUAUGCAAUUUGCUAUAAAGAAGAAUGCCCAUUACGGACUAAAUGUUUAUGUCCUCCUAAAAUUCAUAUGUUGAAGGCCUAACUCUCAAUGUGAUGAUUAUGUGGAGAUGGUGCCUUUGGGAGGUAACUGGGCUUAGAUGUGGGCGUGAGGGUGGGGCCUCAUGGUGAAAUUUGUGCCCUUGUAAGAAAAACACACCACAGGUUUUCAUUCUUCCUCUGCCACAUGAGGCCACAGUAAGAAUGUGACCAUCUGCUAGCCAGGAGGAAAGUCCUCACUGGAACCCGCCCAUAAUAACACUCCAGUCUGGGGCUUUUCAGCCUCCAGAACCAUGAGAAAUAAAUUUCUAGUGUUUAAGUC